AAGUGAAGACUGAGUCUGAAAUGGGAAAGACAUCCCCACACAAGUCCAGCACAGGCUGUUAGAACUCUAUAUCUCUUGUUCUGGAAGCUUUGAAGUCCAAGAUGAAGGUGGCAGCAGCUUGAGUGUCUGGGUCCCCAGUUUGAAAUGUCUUGUUACUGCUGACAAGACCUGCAUGACUGACAAUUUGCUCCCUAAGAGAUGAAAACUGACAUUGCUUUGAAGUUCAAAAUGACAUUGCCAAAACAAGAAAAAAUAGAAAAUAACUGCAGCACGUUUAUGACAUUCAUUUCUUUCUCCACAUGAAACAUACAAUGAGAACACUUUAUAGAUGAAUUGUGUCUUUGAUUGAAUAGAGAAUGGUGGACUAGCUUUGGUUUUAUGGAAUUGGAUAAUUUGUCAUAGUUUCUGCCCCUGGAAAAAUGAGAACCCAAAGGAAAACAAGUGGAAAAAACUUUAAAAAAUAGUGAUAUAAUACACAGUGAUAUUUUUGGUUCAUAGAAUACUUUAAAGUACAUAAUUUACAAAGCAAAUUACUAAAUUAUAAGAAAUGCUGUCAUCAUCAAUAAACAUUCACAGAGCUUCAGGUUUUAACACAAAGCAUUCCUCUUAUUUCAGGUGGUAUUAUUUAUGAAAAAAUUACUUGGAGAUUGCUCCAUGGUUAUCACAUUCUUUUCUAACCACCAACUCCCUAUUAUUAUUUACUAUUAUUAGUUAUUAUAAAUACACAUGAAUACACAAUGAAAGCAUGCUUUAUGUAUAGCAUAUAAAUAUAUUUGAACUUUACUUUCCCCAAAUACUAUCUAUCCUGCAAUAUGACAACACCAAUAAAAGAGUAUCUAAAUAUUAAUUGCUCCUAUCACAAUAGUGGAAACUAGAAGAGAUAAGUUUUCCCAAAUCUGAGUAGAAAACCAUGGUU
rnacentral:lncRNA from 1 species